GCGCGCAAAUUACCCACUCCCGGCACGGGGAGGUAGUGACGAAAAAUAACGAUACGGGACUCAUCCGAGGCCCCGUAAUCGGAAUGAGCACACUUUAAAGACUUUAACGAGUAUCCAUUGGAGGGCAAGUCUGGUGCCAGCAGCCGCGGUAAUUCCAGCUCCAAUAGCGUAUAUUAAAGUUGCUGUGGUUAAAAAGCUCGUAGUUGGACUUGUGUCCCGCGCUGUCGGUUCACCGUUCGUCGGUGUCUAACUGGCAUGCCGCGUGGACGUCCAGCUGGUGGACGCGGUCGGCCGCGGGCCUCUGGCUCGCGCGUCGGCGGUCCGGUGCAAUCCUACCGCGGUGCUCUUCACCGAGUGUCGAGGUGGGCCAGCACGAAUACUUUGAACAAAUUAGAGUGCUUAAAGCAGGUAUGGAUUCGCCUGAAUACUGUGUGCAUGGAAUAAUGGAAUAGGACCUCGGUUCUAUUUCGUNGGUUUCCGGAACCCGAGGUAAUGAUUAAUAGGGACAGACGGGGGCAUUCGUAUUGCGACGUUAGAGGUGAAAUUCUUGGAUCGUCGCAAGACGAACCUAAGCGAAAGCAUUUGCCAUGAAANGUUUUCAUUAAUCAAGAACGAAAGGUUUANAGGUUUCGAAGGCGAUCAGAUACCCGCCCUAGUUCUAACCAAAUAAACGAUCGCCAGCCAGCGAUCCCGCCGACGUCCCAUAAGAUGACUCGGCGGGCAGCCCCCGGGAAACCAAAAGCUUUUGGGUUCCGGGGGAAAAGUAUGGUUGCAAAGCUAGAAACUUAAAGGAAUUGACAGGAAGGGGCCCCCACCACCGGAGGAGUGGAGCCUGCGGCUUUAAUUUGACUCCCCACGGGGGGAAAACCUCACCAGGCCCG
rnacentral:rRNA from 1 species